rnacentral:lncRNA from 1 species
AUGUGCUUGCUAGGUGGAGUGUUUUCUCUCCUUCUUUCAGUCUUUCACCCCUGCAAGCUCUUCCACAGUCUUUUCCAAUUACAAGCUUCCCCCCUGAAAAAGCACACAACAGGCCUUCCAUGUGAAAUUGGCAAUAAAGCUCAGGGGAAAACAAUUUCCUGUGUGACAUUCGUAAAGGGAAAUUCUGCCUGGAAGGAAGCACUGUUAGGAAGAGCGUGGGCUGAACUCCAUCCUCUUUCAUCUGGAUCCUGGAGGCGUUCUCACCCCCGCUCCCUCCGCCUCCACACCCGAUGUCCUUGCCAAGAGCAUUGGGAAGAAGCUCUGAUCUGGAGCACAACAGCACACACCCUGAAGCUAGCUAGAUGGAGAUACUACUGAUGAGCUGCCUAAGUGCUUCUCUUUUGUUCCAGCCUGAGAUUUGAGGCUCAUUCCCUCUGUCCUGGCCAAGCAGAGAUUCAGAGGCAGAAAAGGGUCUCACUGGUCUGACGAUGAUGAUGAGCUACUCCAGGGGACCAUGGGGCUUAUCCCCAUGCACCCCCUGAACCGUGAGUGUCUGUAGCAGCAGAGCUAGCCACAGUCUGCCUGUCUGAGAGAUCCAGCAGAAAUAACGUGCCUUGUGGGAAUAGGUUGCCUCACCCAGGGCCUGAUGGCACGUGUUCUGCCGUUAGCCCAGCCCCUGGUCCAGCUGCAAGCCGAGACCUGCCGUGGUUAACGUGCUGCUAGGAGGCCCGUCUAGCACCUGUGGGAGCCCAUUGGCAUUAGAUUACACUUUGUGAUCUUCUGCGGUGUGAAACUAAAAUCUCCUGCAACUUGUGUGUCCUGUACAGUCCAAAUAAUGGCAUAAGGAUGGAACAGAGAAAGUAGGGAAGGGCAUUUAAAGCACAUGAAGUUCUGAGGCUCUCCUGAGCCAAAGCUACCUAGCUCAUCCCUGAAACAACCACCAAAAGAAACUCUUGAUGUUGAUCCAUGAGUAGCAGCAGAUGGUAUGCCUGCCUGUUAGGGGUAAUCUACUGGGCAUCAGCAGAGCACAGAACUUCUCUUGAAAGUCUUUGACCACCUCCAUGGUAUCGUCCAUGAGGACUGCAAUGCUGUAGGCAGCUUCUGGUGAAAUCAAGCAAUACAAAACAAGGGAAUGUAAAACGUGUGUUCCUUGGGGAGACCUGCACUUUGUCAGCUGAUGAUCAAGCUUUGCUAUCUCUUCUCUUAAAUAAAUACUCUGUUCCUGAAGGGGGCUGAGUCUAA